rnacentral:misc_RNA from 1 species
AAGUCGUAACAAGGUUUCCGUAGGUGAACCUGCGGAAGGAUCAUUACUGAAGGCAUAUGGGGUCUUGAGACUGCGUCCUCUUUUGGGCGUGUGCUCGACCCUGAUAUCUCUUAUCCACACACACCUUUGUGCACGAAUUGAGGGAGGGGGCAAUCUCUUCCCUCAACUAUCUUAUUUAAAACCAAGUAUAUGCAUGUCUUUGUAUUACUCUAUGGAGUCUUAUACAACUUUCAACAACGGAUCUCUUGGCUUUC